UACGUAGGGGGCUAGCGUUGCUCGGAAUUACUGGGCGUAAAGCGCACGUAGGCGGUCUUUUAAGUCGGUGGUGAAAUCCUGGAGCUCAACUCCAGAACUGCCUUCGAUACUGGAAGACUUGAGUCCGGGAGAGGUGAGUGGAACUGCGAGUGUAGAGGUGAAAUUCGUAGAUAUUCGCAAGAACACCAGUGGCGAAGGCGGCUCACUGGCCCGGUACUGACGCUGAGGUGCGAAAGCGUGGGGAGCGAACAGG
rnacentral:rRNA from 1 species